UCGAGAGGCUUCGGCAAUGGGGGAAACCCUGACCGAGUGACGCCGCGUGGGUGAUGAAGAUUCUCGGAUCGUAAAACCCUGUCAGGUGGGAUGAAAAACCAUUCGGUUAAUACCCGAGUGGCUUGACAGUACCACCAGAGGAAGCUCCGGCCAACUCCGUGCCAGCAGCCGCGGUAACACGGGGGGAGCAAGCGUUGUUCGGAAUCACUGGGCGUAAAGCGCACGUAGGCGGAUGUGCCAGUCAGGGGUGAAAUCCCGGAGCUCAACUUCGGAACUGCCUCUGAUACAGCACGUCUUGAGUCCGAUAGAGGUGGGUGGAAUUCCUAGUGUAGAGGUGAAAUUCGUAGAUAUUAGGAAGAACACCGGUGGCGAAGGCGGCCCACUGGAUCGGUACUGACGCUGAGGUGCGAAAGCGUGGGGAGCAAACAGGAUUAGAUACCCAAGUAGUCCCUGAGCGGGCUGGCAAGGCGCAU
rnacentral:rRNA from 1 species